rnacentral:rRNA from 1 species
GAUGAACGCUAGCGGCAGGCUUAAUACAUGCAAGUCGAGGGGCAGCAGGACUGUAGCAAUACAGUUGCUGGCGACCGGCAAACGGGUGCGGAACACGUACGCAACCUACCCAAAACUGGGGAAUAGCCCGGGGAAACCCGGAUUAAUACCUCGUAACAUAAUGAUGUGGCAUCACAUUAUUAUUAUAGCUCCGGCGGUUUUGGAUGGGCGUGCGCCUGAUUAGGUAGUUGGCGGGGUAACGGCCCACCAAGCCUGCGAUCAGUAACUGGUGUGAGAGCACGACCA